CAUAUGCUUCUUCCCUGUCCUGUGUGCCUCCAUUGAUUUCUCAGACAAAGCCCCUACUUUGCAUGUUGCACCUUUUUCCAAGCCAUCAGCAUGGUGUUGCAAAGAUGGUGUGACAUUGUCCUUUGUACCUUCUUUCUCCAAAAUCUCUAGAGAUGUUCCCUCCACCAAUUUAUUACCAUGCAAGAAUUCAACUUUCGGUUUUAUGUUGAGAUUGUCAUCAACCGGGGGAGGGGUAGUAUUU
rnacentral:lncRNA from 1 species